AGAGCUCCUGGCUGGCUGCUGGGACUGAGAAAAGCAGUUCCUGGCAGGGACCAGGGGUGCAAGAAGGUGCUUCUGGUUGACUGCUGGGACUGAAGCAAGAAGAACCCUCAGUUACCAGCAGGGACUCAGGGAGCAGAGAAGGAGCUUCUGGCUAGCUGCUGGGACUGAAACAAGCUGUUGUUCAGAGACUUUCACUCUGUGAUAAAGAUUGUGUGUGACUUGGCCAGAGGGCUGAGUUGCUGAAGACCUGCUGCAAUCACAGAGAGAAAGUGUAUGCACAUGCACUCGACCAAGGGGUGCUCAUGCAGCUGAAGAGAAGAGAGAGUGAAAAAGAGAGAAGAAUCAUAGGGUAAUGGAAUGGAAAAGAAUAAUAUAGGAUAAAGGAUUACUAAUUAAAAGAACAAAAACAUAAAAACUACAAUGGAAAAGGACAAAGAGGAGAAUGAGGGGGGAAAAAGACGAAAAGAAACAAAACUUGAGACUCCAGCUGGUAGG